GAAGAACCUUACCUACUCUUGACAUCCAGCGAAUCCUUUAGAGAUAGAGGAGUGCCUUCGGGAACGCUGAGACAGGUGCUGCAUGGCUGUCGUCAGCUCGUGUUGUGAAAUGUUGGGUUAAGUCCCGCAACGAGCGCAACCCUUAUCCUUUGUUGCCAGCGCGUAAUGGCGGGAACUCAAAGGAGACUGCCGGUGAUAAACCGGAGGAAGGUGGGGAUGACGUCAAGUCAUCAUGGCCCUUACGAGUAGGGCUACACACGUGCUACAAUGGCAGAUACAAAGAGAAGCGACCUCGCGAGAGCAAGCGGAACUCAUAAAGUCUGUCGUAGUCCGGAUUGGAGUCUGCAAUCGACUCCAUGAAGU
rnacentral:rRNA from 1 species